UAUGUACAAACCUUAGCAUUAUAUGUGGACUAUACAUUCAUGCAUAUGUACAAACCUCAGCAUUAUAUGUUACAUUAUAACUUUAUGAGCUCAGAAUUGCUAUCAUAAUAAAAUUGUCAUGAACAAUCCGGUCCAUCAAUCAUAACAACAUAGGAUCUAAGAGAUCUUAGUUACUCUUGCGUAACUAGAACCAACAUAGGUCACGUAUAUCAAUAUAAUCAACGACAUGGAUCAAGUAUAGGUGUGUAGCAUGGAAAUA
rnacentral:lncRNA from 1 species